UACAGAGGGGGCAAGCGUUGUUCGGAAUUACUGGCGUAAGGGCGCGUAGGCGGCCCGCUAAGUCGAACGUGAAAUCCCCGGGCUCAACCCGGGAACUGCGUCCGAUACUGGUGGGCUUGAAUCCGGGAGAGGGAUGCGGAAUUCCAGGUGUAGCGGUGAAAUGCGUAGAUAUCUGGAGGAACACCGGUGGCGAAGGCGGCAUCCUGGACCGGUAUUGGACGCUGACGGCGCGAAAGCCAGGGG
rnacentral:rRNA from 1 species